rnacentral:rRNA from 1 species
UUUAACGGCCGCGGUAUUCUAACCGUGCAAAGGUAGCGUAAUCACUUGUCUCCUAAAUAGAGACUAGUAUGAACGGCUAAAUGAGGACAAACCUGUCUCUUACAACCUAUCAGUGAAACUGAUCUCCCUGUCCAAAAGCUGGGAUACUAACAUAAGACGAGAAGACCCUGUGGAGCUUAAAACUCACUACUAACAAGCUAACAUAGCACAUACUAGUAGGACUUUUAAGUUGGGGC